CCUACGGGUGGCAGCAGUGAGGAAUAUUGGUCAAUGGCCGGAAGGCUGAACCAGCCAAGCCGCGUGAAGGACGAAGGUGCCAAGCAUUGUAAACUUCUUUUGUCAAGGGACAAAAUCAGGCUCGAGAGCCUGACCGAGGGUACUUGAAGAAAAAGCAUCGGCUAACUCCGUGCCAGCAGCCGCGGUAAUACGGAGGAUGCGAGCGUUAUCCGGAUUUAUUGGGUUUAAAGGGGGCGUAGGCGGGCGGUUAAGUCAGCGGUAAAAGCCCGGGGCUCAACACCGGCGAGCCGGUGAAACUGGUCGUCUUGAGAGGGCGAGAGGUAUGCGGAAUGCGCAGUGUAGCGGUGAAAUGCUUAGAUAUCGCGCAGAACUCCGAUUGCGAAGGCAGCAUACCGGCGGCGAUCUGACGCUGAGGCACGAAAGCGUGGGGAUCGAACAGGAUUAGAUACCCGGGUAGUC
rnacentral:rRNA from 1 species